rnacentral:piRNA from 1 species
UCUGGACCCCCCUCCUUUGACCUGU